GGUAAGGAGUGCUGGAGCGAAUAGAAGUGAGCAUGCAGGCAUGAGUAGCGAUAAUUAAUGUGAGAAUCAUUAACGCCGUAAACCCAAGGUUUCCUACGCGAUGCUCGUCAUCGUAGGGUUAGUCGGGUCCUAAGUCGAGUCCGAAAGGGGUAGACGAUGGCAAAUUGGUUAAUAUUCCAAUACCAACAUUAGUGUGCGAUGGAAGGACGCUUAGGGCUAAGGGGGCUAGCGGAUGGAAGUGCUAGUCUAAGGUCGUAGGAGGUUAUACAGGCAAAUCCGUAUAACAAUACUCCGAGAACUGAAAGGCUUUUUGAAGUCUUCGGAUGGAUAGAAGAACCCCUGAUGCCGUCGAGCCAAGAAAAGUUUCUAAGUUUAGCUAAUGUUGCCCGUACCGUAAACCGACACAGGUGGGUGGGAUGAGUAUUCUAAGGCGCGUGGAAGAACUCUCUUUAAGGAACUCUGCAAAAUAGCACCGUAUCUUCGGUAUAAGGUGUGGUUCGCUUCGUAUUAGGAUUUACUCCGAAAGCGAAGAAACUUACAACAAAGAGUCCCUCCCGACUGUUUACCAAAAACACAGCACUCUGCUAACUCGUAAGAGGAUGUAUAGGGUGUGACGCCUGCCCGGUGCUCGAAGGUUAAUUGAUGGGGUUAGCAUUAGCGAAGCUCUUGAUCGAAGCCCGAGUAAACGGCGGCCGUAACUAUAACGGUCCUAAGGUAGCGAAAUUCCUUGUCGGUUAAAUACCGACCUGCAUGAAUGGCGUAACGAGAUGGGAGCUGUCUCAAAGAGGGAUCCAGUGAAAUUGUAGUGGAGGUGAAAAUUCCUCCUACCCGCGGCAAGACGGAAAGACCCCGUGGACCUUUACUACAGCUUGACACUGCUAUUUGGAUAAGAAUGUGCAGGAUAGGUGGGAGGCUUUGAGUAUAUGACGCCAGUUGUAUAUGAGCCAUUGUUGAGAUACCACUCUUUCUUAUUUGGGUAGCUAACCAGCUUGAGUUAUCCUCAAGUGGGACAAUGUCUGGUGGGUAGUUUGACUGGGGCGGUCGCCUCCCAAAUAAUAACGGAGGCUUACAAAGGUUGGCUCAGAACGGUUGGAAAUCGUUCGUAGAGUAUAAAGGUAUAAGCCAGCUUAACUGCAAGACAUACAAGUCAAGCAGAGACGAAAGUCGGUCUUAGUGAUCCGGUGGUUCUGUGUGGAAGGGCCAUCGCUCAAAGGAUAAAAGGUACCCCGGGGAUAACAGGCUGAUCUCCCCCAAGAGCUCACAUCGACGGGGAGGUUUGGCACCUCGAUGUCGGCUCAUCGCAUCCUGGGGCUGGAGCAGGUCCCAAGGGUAUGGCUGUUCGCCAUUUAAAGCGGUACGCGAGCUGGGUUCAGAACGUCGUGAGACAGUUCGGUCCCUAUCUGCCGUGGGCGUAAGAAGAUUGAAGAGAUUUGACCCUAGUACGAGAGGACCGGGUUGAACAAACCACUGGUGUAGCUGUUGUUCUGCCAAGAGCAUCGCAGCGUAGCUAAGUUUGGAAAGGAUAAACGCUGAAAGCAUCUAAGCGUGAAGCCAACUCUAAGAUGAAUCUUCUCUAAGCUCUCUAGAAGACUACUAGUUUGAUAGGCUGGGUGUGUAAUGGAUGAAAGUCCUUUAGCUGACCAGUACUAAUAGAGCGUUUGGCUUAUCUUUAAUAAAGCAU
rnacentral:rRNA from 1 species